GACGAACGCUGGCGGCGUGCUUAACACAUGCAAGUCGAACGAAGCGGCGAACGGGUGAGUAACGCGUAAUCAACCUGCCCUUAAGAGGGGGACAACAGUUGGAAACGACGGCUAAUCCGGCAUACUGAUUGACGCGUUUGCGUCUGAUGAGCUAGUUGGAGGGGUAACGGCCCACCAAGGCGAUGAUCAGUAGCCGGGCUGAGAGGAUGAACGGCCAAAAUUGGACUGAGAAACGGCCCAGACUCCUACGGGGGGCAGCAGUGGGGAAUAUUUGUAAAUGGGCGGAAGGCUGACUGAGGAACGCCGGGUGAGGGGUGAAGGCCUUCGGGUUGUAAAGCUCUGUUAAUCGGGACGAGGUACCGAAAUAGAAAGCCACGGCUAACUACGUGCCAGCAGCCGCGGUAAUAC
rnacentral:rRNA from 1 species